UGGCCCCUCAGGGAUCAUUUCUAUAGUAUGUAACUAGAGAAGUUUCUCUGAAUGUGUAGAAAACCCGAAGCCACGUGGAGGAGCCAGAACAUCCUCUCCUGAGCGUGAAGCCGACUCUAGGUGUUGCUUCUGCGACUGCCUCUUGCCAUUGAUGAUCGUUCUCCCUUUCCUUUGGGAAGGGUAUAGGGAGAGGAUGCAGUCUGAGUGGU